UCCCACUCUUGGGAACAAUAGAGUUAGCUGAGAAUGUGUUUGGACUUUGAUCGUGGUCAGGGUGAUCUCAUGGGGAAAAGGAAUAAGGUGUUAUUCAGAGCAUAGGAAAUUGCUGAUGGUACUCCAAAAAUGAAGGAACUGAACAAAUACAGAUAGCCCAGGUGUUUCUUACAGAACAUUGCAUGACAUGGAAUUCAUGCAUCAGAUGUACUUCCAGAUAACAGAGGUCAGAGUUUUUUUAUUUUUUAUU
rnacentral:lncRNA from 1 species